GGUGGAUUCUUAACCACCUAACCACCAGGGACGUCCCAUAUUUCAUUCAUUUCUGCUCUAAUCUUUUCUAUGUGCUUCCUUCUACUAAUUUUGGGUUUCAUUUGUACUUUCUCUAGUUCCUUGAGGUGUAAAGAUGGCUCAGACCGUAAAGUGUCUGCCUGCAAUGUGGGGAGACCUGGGUUCGAUCCCUGUGUUGGGAAGCUCCCCUGAAGAAGGAAAUGGCAACCCACUCCAGUACUCUUGCCUGGAAAAUUCCAUGGACAAGAGGAGCCUUGUAGGCUAUAGUCCAUGGGGUUGCAAAGAGUCGGACAUGACUGAGUGACUUCACUUCACUUUGUCUGAUGUAUAACUAUUCAAGCUUUCUUUUGGUGGCUAUUUGCAUGGAUUAUCCUUUCCCACCCUACACUUUCAAUCUACCUGUAUUCCUACAUCCAAAGUGAGUCUCUUAUAGGCAGCCUAUAAAUGAGUCUUGUUCUUGUAUCUGUCUCCUUUCUAUGUCUUUUUUUUUUUUUUGCCAUACCACAUGUUACAUGGGAUCUUAUUUCCCAACCAAGGAUCAAACCCUUUACCCCUGCAUUGGAAGCACAGAGUCUUAACCACUAGCCACCAGAGAAUUCCCUCUAUGUCUUUCAACUGGAGAAGUUAGUUCAUGUACAUUUAAAGUAAUUAUUGAUACAUAUGUGCUUAUUCUUUGUUUUCUGGCUGUUUUAUAGUGCUUCUCUGCUCCUAUCUUCUCUUGCCUUCUUUGUGAUUUGAUGACUUUCUUUAGAGGUAUGCUCACAUUCCUUUCUCUUUUUCUUUGGUGUAUUUACUAUAAGUUUUUGCUUUGGGUGUACCAUGAGGCUUACACAUAACUUACAGCUGUAAUAGUCUAUUUUAAGUUGAUAACAACUUAAGUUGGACCCCACUGCAAAGCUUGACAUUAUUCCUUCCCCAUUCCCUCAUUCCCCGUGUUUCACGGUUCUGAUGUCACAUUUGACAUCUUUUUAUCUGUUGUCUCCCUUAACUAAUUGUUGUAAUCACAGUUGUUUGCACUACUUUUGUCUUUCAACCUUCAUACUAGUUUCAUAAAUGAUUAAAGUGCAUUGAGUGGGUAUUUUUCUGAAAGGGACCUCAAACAUGCCAAAGUCAGCCUCAUGGGCUAUGUGUGUGUGCAGUCCUAGGACUGUACAUACCGAGGCUGGACCACAUAGGUGCAGUCAGCAUCACUUAGCCUUGAAGAGUGGAGUGUGUAGAAAAGUGGAUGGUGCGUUCAUUGUGUCUGUGUCCCAACAGACGAUACCAGCCUCGUGUGGAUGUUGCCCAGAGACUCUUUUCCUGGUUCUGGGCUUGGUGGUAGGAAGGGCAGAGGGAGAAACGACGUAGGAGAAAGCCUUAACGCAGCGCCCAAACGGAAUUUCCUCCCCUGCUGAAAGUUAGAUCCAAUUCACACCCUCGCACAGCCUGAAGGCUGGUGCCGGCUCUGUUUGAUAACAUCACAGCAAACGGCCGCCUUGUCUCUAUUUUGGUCCUUGCCACUGCUGCUUCUCUCUGCACCUUUCAAGAAGCGCUCCUUCCCUUCUGGAAGGCUGGGGUGCCAAGCUCCCCCAGCUCCUUCCCAUUUUGGUAAAUUAAGGGACAAAUGGUGCCAAAUUGUUCUCGUCUCUUUCACGAAACUAUUCGUAACCAGCUUAUUUUCUUUUCCUCCAUUGAGUGAGCACGUUAAAACUAAAAUUAAAUCAUUACCCAAAGCACAGACAACGAUCCCCUUCAUAAUUACAUCCUCUUAAUUGGCAUCUGAGGACCCAGCUCAUUUUUACACUUGCUGGAAAAUGUCUCAGGCAUAUUUAAUGGUUUUUUUUUUUUUAAGGUUUAAAGGUCAACAAGAAUAUCUUACCUUAAUUUGACAAGCGUGCAAGAAAUAAUGCAAGACUGGUUUAUGUUCAGGUAAUGCACAAGGAAAUCUAUAAAUCAGGCUGGGGGAAUAUGAGAUGAUGCCAUAUCAGAACCAUCUGCCUUCGUCCUCAGAAGAAUCAAUACCACAAAGAAAGCACCAAAGACGUAGUGAUUUAUGCCUUUGUGUCGGCGGAGAAAUAUUGGCCAUUUUUAGAGUCACCUCAUAUCAUCCUAAAACAACAGGGCCAGAGGGGAAGAAUGAGAGUGGCCAUAACCCUGCACGUGUCAGAGAGCAAAUCUGACACUUGGUUUUUAAUUGUCUUGGCUUGAGAAAGGAUGAUUCUGAGGUCCCUCCAUUCCCCUAACUCUGCCCUCUCUUCUAUUGUAUGUGGGAAGGCUGCCAUGAGUGCUGAGAUGUGGAAGGGAAUUAACUAAAUUGCUUCUGAGUGAUUGUUGCCAGGGGAUAGGGGCUUAGAGCUUGGGGAUCCUGGGUUUUCCGUACUAGGCAUGCUGUGUAAGCCCCUGCCUUCCUUUUUAAAAAAACGUUGUGUUUUAUUUUGGAGUAUAGUUGAUUAACAAUGUUGUCAUAGUUUCAGGUGUACAGCAAAGUGAUUCAAUUAUACAUAUACGUGUAUCUAUUCUUUUUCAAAUCCUUCCCCCGUCUGUUGUUGAUGUUGUCAGUAAGUCAUGUCUGACUCUUUGCAACCCCAUGGACUGCAACACGCCAGGAUCUUCUGUCCUCCAGUAUCUCCCAGAGUUUGCUCAAAUUCAUGUCCAUUGAGUUGGUGAUGCCAUCUAACCGUCUCAUUCUCUGUCGCCCCCUUGUCCUUUUGCCUUCAGUCUUUCUUAGCAUCAAGGUCUUUUCGAAUGAGUUGGCUCUUCGCAUCAGGUGGCCAAAGUAUUGGAGCUUCAGCUUCAGCAUCAGCCCUUCCAAUGAAUAUUCAGGAUCGAUUUCCUUUAGAAGUGACUGGUUUGAUCUCCUUGCAGUCCAAAGGACUCUCAAGGGUCUUUCCCAUUUAGGUUGUUACAUAAUCUUGACCGGAGUUGCUUGUUCUAUGCGGUAGGUCCUUGAUGGUUACCUCUGCCUUCCUUUUGAGAGCCUUCACUGGCUGAGAGAACACACAGCCUCGGGGAACUCCACCCUCCAGCAUGAUGGAUGUUGGGGCUUGGUCCUGACCAAGAUAGGAAGAGGUACUGUGGCUUUGUGGGGGAGGGAAAGAAAGUCUCUGAGCAAUUAGGGCUUGGAAAAACAAGUGGUAUUGUUUCACCACCUUCCCCAGAGGGUCAACAGUAGUAAUUCUCCAGGGGGAUGGGAGGAAGAGAGACAGAUGAAGCUCUGGCAGAUGGAUCAGUAUCUGGGAAGGGAGAGGAAGAUUUGAAAGGCUUGAAAAAGAAUACUUUGCCAUUGGAGACGUGUUUUGUGGAGAGGGUUCAAAGUAUAAAAUUAGAUUUUCAUAAUCAAGCUAUAGAAAGGAAAGCUUCUCUCAAUUCUCCUGGCAGGUGGGACUCUGGAAUUUUGAAUGAAAGAGAUUCUGAGCUUUUGCUCUCUGACACUAGUGUUAUGUAUGCUGUGGACUAAUAUUGUGUGUUUAUGUUGACAUGAGUACUGUAGUUCCCGUUACACAUCAUAAAAAUAUGCACUUUCUGUUUUACAGUGAAGAUAUGCUUUGGGGAAAAGUUUGAUUUUUGUUUUUACUAAAGAGUAGCACAAAAAAGGGGACAGUGAGGUUGUUCUAUCUUCCGUUCUAUCCUUUCCAAGAGUUGAAGUUGGUCCUAACACUACACAAGCUGGACAUCAAAGUAAAAUCAUUUCCAUCACCACAGUACACUGUGCUCACCACUUUUUAUGCAAAAGAAACCCAUAGCCAUAUUCCUGCUUCUUGGAGCCUGUGUGUGGAUGGGUGCCUGGCCUGCCCCCACUGCCCUCUGCCUGCUGGCCCCAGAGGUCACACUGCCAUCUACAAAUCAAAUUGAACAUCAAGUUUUGCUUUCUUUGGUCCUUUCUGGGACAAAACUAAUGGUAAUGAUGCAUGAGGUUUAUAUCAAGGGUAGAUUUAUCUGUAGUGCGAAGAGGAGGUGCACCUUCCUUGAGGCAUUGGCAAAUUCUGGACAGUCAUGCCAAACCACUCUCAUAGCUUAAACUGUUGGGCCAAGAUCACAUGAACUUUAUUCUAAAGCCUGUGGGUCUAAUUUUUCCCUGCAGAACGUCAUUCUCUGCUUCACAUGAAAGAAACUAGCAUUAUCAGGAUGUUGUCACCAACCUGUGCAAAACUCUUGCACACUUCAAGGAUACAGAUUCUCACCUUUUGGAAACUCCCAUGAAAUCUACAUUGAGGCAGCCAGACCUUGCCUUAGUGAAGAAGCUGAAAACACAGCCUGGAGGAAAUCCAUUACUAGGGUGGUGGGGUAAAAGUUUUGCAAAAGGUCAGCUCUAUUAUUUGGCUAUUAGUUGUGAUGAAUGGGUGAUAAAUGACACCAUGCACAGCUACCCAGGUGUGUGUGAUCCAUGGCUCGGGAGCCAGUCCGGGAGGAAACGCUGUUUUUCUAAGCCUUGGAGACUACCAAUGGAAUUGAUUAUGUCUCUGAACUGGAGUCAGAGUUCUUCGAAGUAAAUGAGCCGAAUUGGAAAAUAAUAUUAGACUUCCAUUAGGGGUGUUCUUACAAAGCCAAAUUCAAGAAAAGGACUCUGUGUGUGUAUGUCUGUGUGUGUGUGUCUGUGUGUGGAUACAAGGGAAAGCCUCAUAAAUAUUUUCAGAAUAUACUCCAUCAUUCUCUGCCAAGUUUCAGCAUUUGCCAGUUUUUAAAGAAGACGUCAACCUUGCUAGCAAAAUAAUUAAUUUUGUUAAAAAGAAAAAAGAAAGAAAACACCUCACAAGAACCAGAAACACCCCCCCAAUGCAUUGGAUGCCAUGCUGUUUCCUUAAUUCUGUGAAAAUUUGCAUGCCAGAGAAUUUGGAUUGCCCACUGGGUUCUCUAGGUCUGAACUGAAAUUGUCAAAAGCGCUUGGUGAAUAAAUGAACUGAAGGUAGACGUUACCAUAUUUGGGGGCUUUCCAAGUGACUCAGUGCUAAAGAAUCUGCCCUUCAAUGCAGGAAACCUGGGUUCUAUCCCUGUGUCGGGAAGAUCCCCUGGAGGAGGAGGUGGCAACCCACUCCAGUAUCCUUGCCUAGAAAAUCCCAUGGACAGAGGAGCCUGGCAGGCUACAAUCCAGAGGGUUGCAAAGAGUCGGACAAGACUGAAUGACUGACUGUAUUAUAUUUUUAAUCAUCAGGGAAAAGACCAACUGCAUUGAACUUAUGAAAUUGAUCGUUCUGAAGUUUUCGGCACACUCAGCAGACAUGAUUGAAAUAGUUUUGCAAACACGGAACUUCAGAAUAAAUAUCAACCCCAUUGCUCAUCGUGACACGUGUUAUAAAGGUUGCCCAAGGCCAGCACAGGCUGCAGAGGCAUAGUGCUUGGAACGGCUGCUUAUUUUCCCUUCUUGAUGAAGUGCUUGAGGGCCAGUUUCAUGGAAGCCCUUUCCAGAAAUGUCACAUUUUUCUGUAGGUUUGCCUAUAGCCUUAGUCCCUGAAACAUUUCUCAGAGACCCCUGUUGGAAGCUUCCACAGCUCCCGGUUCUUGCUGAUAUUCAGGCAUUUCUCUAAGAGCAUCACCUUUAUUCAUUCAGUCCUUAUAACAAUUUGGGGAGGCAACCAUUAUUACCCCCAUUUUGCAGAUGAGAAAACUGAGGCACGAGGAAUUUAAGUCACUUGCUCAGGGGCUACAGAGUUGAUGAGUGAUGGAGCUGGGAUCUGGACCCAAGCAACCUGGCUACUCCAGGCCUUCUCAGUCAUCACUGUACAUCUCAUUAUCUCAUUUCCAUUUUGCUCAUAUAUACCAGGCAGCUGAGUUUCCUGCACUGCUAGGUAUGAAAACCAGCUGGGAGGGCCAGGCUUGAUGUAAAGAGUAACUUAUAGUUUUUUUCAGGAUCCAGAAUACUCACAUGAGAAAAGCUCAGCAAGUGGACCUGAGACACACAGUGAUACCUGAGCAUCAAAGUAAAAACAUUUAAUUUUCAACAUCAUAAUAAAGCUGUCUUCCUAAAGUGCCAAUUCUCAUGAGAAUGGCAGACAUGAAUUUUCAUGUUGUAGCUGAAACUUCUCACCUGGAUUAUUAUGGUUGCCUGUUGCUUGUUUCUGCCCUUGCCUACCUACCUACAUGGCCAGAGGGGUCUUGCUGAAAUCAAGUCAGAUAAUGUCUUUCUUUUCUCCCCAGCUCACUGAGUCAAGGCCAACAUCCUCUCAGUGGUCCAUGUAUGCUAAGUCGCUUCAGUCAUGUCUGACUCUUUGCGACUCUAUGGACCAUAGCCUGCCAGGGUCCUCUGUCCAUGGGAUUCUCCAGACAAAAAUACUGGAUUGAGUUGCCAUGCCCUCCUCCAGGGGGUCUUCCUGACCCAGGGAUUGAACCCGUGUCUCUUAUGUCUCCUGCAUUGGCAGGCAGGUUCUUUACCAUUAGUGCCACCUGGGAAGCCCUCAGUGGUCCAUGACUGGCCCUUUAUUACUUCUUUUUACCUUAUCUCAUUUCAACUUCGUUAUGUUCACUUUUCCCAACACACUGGGUGUCAGGAAUGCUCCCACCCCAGGGCCUUUGCACAGGCUGUUCCCUAGAUAUCCACAUGGUUCAAAUGCCACUUCUCAAUGAAACCUCCACUCACAUGCUUAGGUCUUGAGACUGCCUCUAGCCUCCAACCCUCCUAUCCCCUUCACCCUGCUAUUUUCCUUUUCUCCAUAGCAUUUAUCACCCUCUAGUAUUAUUUGUAAUUUACUAAUUUAUUAUUUCGGUAGCACUAUCUCUUUCCUGUGUGUGUGUGUGGUGUGUUAGUCACUUACUCAUGUCCAACUCUUUUGAGACCCCAUGGACUAUAGCCCACCAGGCUCCCCUGUCCAUGGGAUUCUCCAGGCAAGAAUACUGGAGUGGGUUGCCAUUUCCUUCUCCAAGCAGUCUUCCUGACCCAGAGAUCAAACCCGGGUCUCCUGCACUGCAGGGAGAUUCUUUACCAUCUGAGCUACAGGGAAGCCCUGGUGGGAUGUACUUCUGCAAGGGCAGAAUCUUUGUCUGUUUGUUCACCAGUAGAUCCCUGUUGCCUAGAACCGUGCCAAGCACAUAGUAGGUGCUCAUUAAAUAUUUAUUACAUAUGUGGUUACCUCUAGAGGGAAGGGAGGGGUUAAGUAGUAGGAAGGAAUACAAAAGAGGCUCCAAAUAUUGUUAAUUGUUUUAUUCUUUAGGUUGAGGGUAAGUAUACUGGUGGUUCUUUAUAUUAUUUUAAUAUAUUAUUUGUCUGUCUGAAAUGUUUCACAAUGAAUUUUCAAGAAUCAAACUGGGUCCAAAAGUAAGAUUUAUCUAUGAUUUGUAUUAGUGGGAUAGUCCCCUUCCCCAUCCAAAUGAAUUACUUCUGUGUACCAUCCUGUGUCAGUGGCUAACAGUUCAGGUUCUUGUUGAUGUUCAGUGACUAAAUUGUGUCCGACUCUUUGUGACCCCAUGCGCUGCGUCAUGCCACGGUUUCCUCUCCUUCCCCACUUACCAGAGAGUGCUCCAACUCAUGUCCAUCGAGUCAGUGGUGCCAUCCGACCAUCUCGUCCUCUGUCGUCCCCUUCUCCUCCCGUCUUCACUCUUUCCCAGCAUCAGGGUCCUUUCUAAUGAGCGCCAGGCUCUUUGUAUCAGGUGGCCAAAGUAUUGGAGCUUCAACUUCAGAUUCUUGGGGAGAUGCAUUUGUAACUGGGGGAUGUGGAGGUGAGACAGGCUGGGACCUGAGAUCUGGGACCCUUACAGUGCUUGCACCUGGCCAGAUAUCUCCUGAAGCAACAAAAUUCAAGGAAACUAUACGUGACUAAAACUAAUUGUGUGCUUGUGAAGUUGGGGCAAAUUAUGGACAACAAGAUAUAAGACCGAAAAACCCAACUGCCACUCUGAAGAUCCAGGAGCAAAAGCAGGGUACCAUGCAUGCCCCUGCAUACAACGUCACCAAAGGAGUGGGCAAACCACCCAAGCCACCCCUCUGGCCUGACCCCUGAACCCACCCCUACCCUCACCCCAUAUAAGGAAACAGCUCACUCUCCCUCGCUGCAGCAGGGCUCCAGAAAAGCCUUGUAUGAGUUUCUUAUCUGGUCUUAUUAAUUUCUAUUGAUUGAGGAAAGCCAAGAACCCUGGUCAGUAACAGAGGGACAGAAGGAGAAGGUGGGGCAGGGGCUCUGCCCAUCAGGGCAGCUUGACUUGGAAGGUGGGCGAAUUGAAGUACCCUGAGCUGACUUGCAGAACUGCCCAUCAAAGCAUGUUGGGGACAGCUGAGAAACAAGAGUAAGGCUGCACUGGGCCAGCUUCCAGAAGCAGGAUGCUCAGGGGGUAAGGGAUGUGUCUGAUGGUCCUUGGCAGAAGGACUCGCGUCCCCUGUUCUCCAGAGGAGAGACGGAAAGAGGAAUGAUGUUUCCCGAGCCACCAGGAAGGUGGAAAGUGGUGGUGAGUUCAGGCACCUGGUGAAAAAUUCGGAUGGGGGCUCCUCUGGGUUGAGACUGACCUGAGCAGGACAGAACUCAGAUCUCGGCUCUGUGACUUUCUGUGGCCCCAUAAGAUCCCCAAAUCCGCAAAAGGAGAGCCAGUCUCUGAGAGCCAGCUGUGUAGACAGUCUGUGACGGUCAUGGCCGGUGGUCUACAGAUGAGGAGGGCUGGUCUCAGCCAGGAGCACAGGUCCUGUCCUCAUGCUCGAUGGCAGCUUCCCAGGUGUUGACCAGUGCCUCUGGAAAGUACAGCUCCUUCAGAGGAGUGGCAUUGAUCAGGCAGGACGGAAAGCAAGCGGUGGCGAUCAUGACGAACGAAUAUUCAUUUGGCAGUGGGAGAGAACACACGGAGAUUAUACCUGCGAUGACCGGCUGGGCAGGAUCAGUUCAGGACACAAGGUGGACCAGUUGUCUACAGGGGCUGAGGCUCAGGGGCUGGAGGGGGAGAGAGAGCCAGAGAUGACUGGGACCAUGAGGUUGCCACGUCACUCCACUCACAGCUCUCCGGAUGCUGACUGAAACUG
ensembl:lncRNA